CUCACAACCCUGAGAUCAAGACCUAUGCUGAGAUCAAGAGUCAGAUACUUAACUGACUGAGCCACCCAGGCACGCCAUGAAUUACUGUUUCUGCUAAAGCCCCAGGAGCUCUCCAGCUUGCUCAUCCCUGCCACUGGGGUUCUGCGCAGGAGAGAGUGUCAGCUUUGUCCCACAAUUUCCUGGUCCUGGUUCUGGAAAUCCUGUUCGCAUCUACAGCUGAGGAUUAUGGCUGAAGCACUCACGACACAGGUAGAGAAAAAACAGCAUUGGCUGAAGGUGAAAGAGCAGAACUGAAAGUCACACUCGGACUCAGGUUUAGGCUGCCUUGAAUAUGCUGGCCCGGUGGCACCCACCAACCUGUGGAGAGAAAAGCAUCCCAUCGUACGGACCACCACCCACCCAGACAGAGUGCAGAUGGGCUCUGUUGAGCCCUUUGUGGUGAGUAUUCUCCCCUGUGGUGACUUUAAAACAUGAUCACAAAACUCUAGCACUGGUUCCAUGCAGAGGCAGGGUCUCUGUCCCGUCUCCUUAAAUAGGAAUUGCAGCUGCUUAAGCAAUAGGGUAGAAUGGAAACGAUAUGGUCUCCAGGCCCAGACCUUAAAAGCCUAGCAUCUGCUGUUUCCUGUCUCUUCUGAGAUACCUGCUCUUGGAACCAAGCCACCACACUGUGAGGAAGUCCAAGCUACCUUGUGGAGAGGCGGGUGUGGAGAGAAGCAGCAUACAGUGACUCUAGCAGGUGAGUGAGUCAUCUUGGAAGUGGUUCUUCCAGCCCCAACUGACGCCACUUGGGGCAGAGGUGAGCUGUCCCUGCUGAGCUACAUGAUUGCUGCCGGCUUACGUCACUAAUUUUUGGAGUGGUUUGUUUGAAGAGAUAGAUAAUGGAGGCAUCCCCUGUCCCCCCACCAAACUGGGAGCCACAGGCUUAGGAGGCAGGAAACAGGCCCCUCUUUGUCCCUGGAGCUGGGACCUAGGUCAGCAUUGUUCCUUCAACAAGUAUUUGUUGCAUGACCACCAAGUGCUAGACACUGUUCCAGGGGCCAAGGAGUUACUGAAUGAGACAGACCCUAAGAAAGGGUGGUGGGGAGAACCAUCUUCCUGUGGGAGGUUAUUUCUAAGCUGAGACCCAUCUAAGGAAGAGGAGUUAGCCACUCACAGAAGCAGAGAAAGGCCAGAUGCAAUACCGUGUGCUAGUUCUGGAUGAGGUUAACAGAUUGGGCAAAUAAAAAAUAAAAAUUUGACACCCAGUUAAACUUGAA